rnacentral:rRNA from 1 species
UAGGGAAUAUUGGUAAUCUGGGAAACCGGGAACCAGCAACGCCGCGUGCGCGAUGAAGGCCUUCGGGUUGUAAAGCGCUUUUUGAGAGGAUGAGGAAGGACAGUACUCUUAGAAUAAGCCUCGGCUAACUACGUGCCAGCAGCCGCGGUAAAACGUAGGAGGCGAGCGUUAUCCGGAUUUACUGGGCGUAAAGCGUGUGUAGGCGGUUUGAUAAGUUGGAUGUGAAAGCUCCUGGCUUAACUGGGAGAGGUCGUUCAAUACUUCCGGACUUGAGAGUGGGAGAGGGAGGUGGAAUUCCGGGUGUAGUGGUGAAAUGCGUAGAUAUCCGGAGGAACGCCAGUGGCGAAAGCGGCCUCCUGGCCCAUUUCUGACGCUCAGACGCGAAAGCUAGGGUAGCAAACA